UACGUAGGGGGCAAGCGGUUGUCCGGAAUCAUUGGGCGUAAAGAGCGUGUAGGCGGUCCGGUCAGUCCGCUGUGAAAGUCCAGGGCUCAACCCUGGAAUAGCCGGUGGAUACUGCCGGGCUAGAGUCCGGAAGAGGCGAGUGGGAAUUCCUGGUGGUAGCGGUGAAAUGCGCAGAGUAUACAGGAGGAACACCGAUGGCGAAGGCAG
rnacentral:rRNA from 1 species